CAGAGGGUGCGAGCGUUAAUCGGAUUUACUGGGCGUAAAGGGUGCGUAGGCGGUUCUAUGAGUGUGAUGUGAAAGCCCUGGGCUCAACCUAGGAAGUGCAUCGCAAACGAUAGAACUGGAGUAUGUGAGAGGGUGGCGGAAUUUCCGGUGUAGCGGUGAAAUGCGUAGAUAUCGGAAGGAACGUCGAUGGCGAAGGCAGCCACCUGGCACAAUACUGACGCUGAGGCACGAAAGCGUGGGGAUCAAACAGGAUUAGAUACCCUGGUAGUCCACGCCGUAAACGAUGAUAACUAGAUGUUGGUAGGGGAACCUAUCGGUAUCGAAGCUAACGCGAUAAGUUAUCCGCCUGGGAAGUACGGCCGCAAGGUUG
rnacentral:rRNA from 1 species